rnacentral:rRNA from 1 species
UAAUAUAUUAAUAUAAUUUAAUUAUUAGAAUUUAAUAAUUGAAAAGAAAUUUUAUUUCGACUUAUUUAAUAUCUAGUUUUUAUUUUUUUAGAUUUAGUCUAAUAAUAUAAAUUUUUAUUAUUAUAUAAUUUAAUAAAAUUUUAUAUUAUAAAUAUUUAAGGGGAUAAGCUCUUAAAUUUUUAUUUCAAUAAUUUUUAUUUUAAAAAAAAUUAUUUUUAGACUUAAAAAUAGUUUUUAAAAAGUAAGUUAAAUUUUAUAAUUGAUUUUAAUAUAUUUUUAAAUAAUUUUGUUUUAUUAAAAAAUUUUCUUUUAUUAGUUAUGAUUUCUUAUAAUUAAAUUAUGAUUAAUUAUUUAUUUUUAAAAAAUUAAUAUUUUUAAAUUAAUAAUAUUAACUCGGCAAUAAUAAUUUUGAAUGUUUAACAAAAACAUUUCUUUUAAUUUUUAUUUAAAGUAUAGUCUGCCCACUGAUUUUUAAAGGGCCGCGGUAUUCUGACCGUGCAAAGGUAGCAUAAUCAUUAGCCUUUUAAUUGAAGGAUUGAAUGAAUGGCUUAACAAUUUUAUUCUUUAUUUUAUUAAAAUUUGAAAUUUAAUUUGUAGUAAAAAUUCUGCUUUUUAUUUGAAAGACGAUAAGACCCUAUAGAUCUUUAUUUCUUUAUACUAAAAAUAUUAUAGGGGUAUUAUUUUUAGUAUAAAGAAAUUUUGUUGGGGCAACACUAGAAUAAAUAAAAUUUCUUUAAUUAAUUUAAAUAUCUUUAAAAUCCAUGCUUUUGAAGUAAAAAAGUUACCUUAGGGAUAACAGCGUUAUAUUUUUAGAGAGUUCAUAUCGAUAAAAUAUCUUGCGACCUCGAUGUUGAAUUAAAAUUUCUAUUUGGAGCAGUAUUUAAAUAUGAUAGUCUGUUCGACUAUAAAAUUUUUACAUGAUUUGAGUUCAAACCGGCGUAAGCCAGGUUGGUUUCUAUCUUCAAAUUAUUUAAAAUAUUUUUUAGUACGAAAGGAUUAAUUAUAGUUUUUA